UAAGAGAGACAGGGGUUGGGGUCUCAGGGUACUAGCAGAGCUAAGACACUUCAGUUUUUGACUACCAUUCAGAGUGAACGCUGUCAUCCAUCCAUCCCAGCAAUCUGGUGGGAGCGAGAUGGUAAAACUGAUUUAAGAGACCAGGUGUAGGGAAUUUGAGGAGAAGGAGGAAAGUUUAGGAAGCAGCGGGAGAGAUGUCCCACCCUCCCCCAC